GUGGGGAAUUUUGGACAAUGGGCGCAAGCCUGAUCCAGCAAUGCCGCGUGUGUGAAGAAGGCCUUCGGGUUGUAAAGCACUUUUGUCCGGAAAGAAAUGGCCUGGGUUAAUACCCCGGGUCGAUGACGGUACCGGAAGAAUAAGCACCGGCUAACUACGUGCCAGCAGCCGCGGUAAUACGUAGGGUGCGAGCGUUAAUCGGAAUUACUGGGCGUAAAGCGUGCGCCGGCGGCGAUGCAAGACAGAUGUGAAAUCACCGGGCUCAACCUGGGAAGUGCGUUUGUGGAUGCAUGGCUAGAGUGCGUCAGAGGGGGGUGGAGUUCCGCGUGUAGCAGUGAAAUGCGUAGAGAUGCGGAGGAACACCGAUGGCGAAGGCAGCCCCCUGGGAUGACACUGACGCUCAUGCACGAAAGCGUGGGGAGCAAACAGGAUUAGAAACCCUGGUAGUCC
rnacentral:rRNA from 1 species